GACGAACGCUGGCGGCGUGCUUAACACAUGCAAGUCGAACGAUGAAAGAGGAGCUUGCUCCUCUGGAUUAGUGGCGAAAGGGUGAGUAACACGUGAGCAAUCUGCCCCUGACUCCGGAAUAACUACGGGAAACUGUAGCUAAUACCGGAUAUGCGCCGAACAGGCAUCUGUAUCGGUGGGAAAGAAUUUCGGUCAGGGAUGAGCUCGCGGCCUAUCAGCUUGUUGGUGAGGUAACGGCUCACCAAGGCGACGACGGGUAGCCGGCCUGAGAGGGUGACCGGCCACAUUGGGACUGAGACACGGCCCAGACUCCUACGGGAGGCAGCAGUGGGGAAUAUUGCACAAUGGGCGCAAGCCUGAUGCAGCAACGCCGCGUGAGGGAUGACGGCCUUCGGGUUGUAAACCUCUUUUAGCAGGGAAGAAGCGAAAGUGACGGUACCUGCAGAAAAAGCUCCGGCUAACUACGUG
rnacentral:rRNA from 1 species